ACCCGCUGAACUUAAGCAUAUCAAUAAGCGGAGGAAAAGAAACUAACAAGGAUUCCCCUAGUAACGGCGAGUGAAGCGGGAACAGCUCAAAUUUAAAAUCUGGCGGCCUUCGGUCACCCGAGUUGUAGUCUAGAGAAGUGUUUUCUGUGCUGGACCAUGUACAAGUCUCUUGGAACAGAGCGUCAUAGAGGGUGAGAAUCCCGUCCUUGACAUGGACUCCCAGUGCUAUACGAUGCACUCUCAAAGAGUCGAGUUGUUUGGGAAUGCAGCUCAAAAUGGGAGGUAAAUUCCUUCUAAAGCUAAAUAUUGGCGAGAGACCGAUAGCGAACAAGUACCGUGAGGGAAAGAUGAAAAGCACUUUGGAAAGAGAGUUAAACAGUACGUGAAAUUGUUGAAAGGGAAACGCUUGAAGUCAGUCUUGUCUUCUGGGACUCAGCCUUGCCUUGUGCUUGGUGCAUUUCCUAGUAAACAGGCCAGUGUUGAUUUUGAUCGCUGGAAAAAGGCAGGGGGAAAGUGGCACUCUUCGGGGUGUGUUAUAGCCCUCGGUCAUAUGCAGUGGUUGGGAUUGAGAUUUAACAGCAUGCUUUUAGUGGUGCUUUUACUGGCAUAAUGGCUUUAAACGACCCGUCUUGAAACACGG
rnacentral:rRNA from 1 species